UAGUAUAGUCGAUCAUGCAGCCGAAAUG
rnacentral:piRNA from 1 species